GACGGGGGGGACUAAUGCCUAGGAAUCUGCCUGGUAGUGGGGGAUAACGUUCGGAAACGGACGCUAAUACCGCAUACGUCCUACGGGAGAAAGCAGGGGACCUUCGGGCCUUGCGCUAUCAGAUGAGCCUAGGUCGGAUUAGCUAGUUGGUGGGGUAAUGGCUCACCAAGGCGACGAUCCGUAACUGGUCUGAGAGGAUGAUCAGUCACACUGGAACUGAGACACGGUCCAGACUCCUACGGGAGGCAGCAGUGGGGAAUAUUGGACAAUGGGCGAAAGCCUGAUCCAGCCAUGCCGCGUGUGUGAAGAAGGUCUUCGGAUUGUAAAGCACUUUAAGUUGGGAGGAAGGGUUGUAGAUUAAUACUCUGCAAUUUUGACGUUACCGACAGAAUAAGCACCGGCUAACUCUGUGCCAGCAGCCGCGGUAAUACAGAGGGUGCAAGCGUUAAUCGGAAUUACUGGGCGUAAAGCGCGCGUAGGUGGUUAGUUAAGUUGGAUGUGAAAUCCCCGGGCUCAACCUGGGAACUGCAUUCAAAACUGACUGACUAGAGUAUGGUAGAGGGUGGUGGAAUUUCCUGUGUAGCGGUGAAAUGCGUAGAUAUAGGAAGACCACACCCAGGUGA
rnacentral:rRNA from 1 species